rnacentral:rRNA from 1 species
UCUCAGAGAAGAAGAAGUGACGGUAUCUGAGGAAUAAGCAUCGGCUAACUCCGUGCCAGCAGCCGCGGUAAUACGGAGGAUGCAAGCGUUAUCCGGAAUCAUUGGGCGUAAAGCGUUUGUAGGUGGCUUUGUAAGUCCGCUGUGAAAGAGUACAGCUUAACUGUAACUAGGCAGUGGAAACUAUGAGGCUGGAGUGUGGUAGGGGUAGAGGGAAUUCCCGGUGUAGCGGUGAAAUGCGUAGAUAUCGGGAAGAACACCAACAGCGAAAGCACUCUGCUGGGCCAACACUGACACUGAGAGACGAAAGCUAGGGUAGCCAAUGGGAUUAGAUACCCCAGUAGUCAAUCACUAGUGAAUUCGCGGCCGCCUGCAGGUCGACCAUAUGGGAGAGCUCCCAACGCGUUGGAUGCAUAGCUUGAGUAUUCUAUAGUGUCACCUAAAUAGCUUGGCGUAAUCAUGGUCAUAGC